rnacentral:tRNA from 1 species
GGCCUCGUAGCUCAGCUGGUAGAGCAUGCGCGUACAAAGCGUAGGCGGCGUCCAUGCGUGGGUUCGAAUCCCACCGAAG